rnacentral:rRNA from 1 species
ACCAAUGGCGAGAGCACGUUGAAUGUACUAGUUUCUAACGGAUCACUGAAGUUGAGCAACGUUGCGCGUGGUUAGUACCUGGAUGGUGACCAUCUGGGGAAUCGCAUGCUGCUGGGC